UCCAACAAAAAAAAAAAAAAAACAAUUGCACAUGAUGCCUCACGUGCACUUCUCCCCAUUAGCGAUCCUCCACCACCUCACGUGCACCUCCUUCUCUCCUACAUGAGCAAGGAUGUCUAGUUGCCGGCUGCCUCAUCCCGAUCCUCCACCGCUUGAUGCCCGCGCGAACCAUCUUAUAUCCCAUCCAUCAGCACCAUUAAAUGCCGAAGAUUGCGAGGAUCGAGCUAGAUCAGCGCUUGUGGACGCCGAAGCAGCUUCUUUUCUAGGGUUUCUACUCCCGUGAUAGAGCGAGCUAGGGGGAUCUUUGGACAUUGCCGAGGGAUUUUUGAAGAGUUGAUCUAGAGGUUGCUAGAUUUGUGCUGUACUUCGAUCUUCUUGAAGUAAGUGACAUGACUCUUUUUUGGAUUCCAUCAUGUAAAUUUUACCCACCAUGUUAGUGUAAUGCCGGGCAUGAGGCUUCAUGAUUUCAUCGACAAUAAAGCUUGAGAUCAUGGGUGAAAGAUCUGAAUUUUCUUUUGUUUUUUGGUAAUUGUUUUGAUUCAUGCAAUUCUUAAUAUCACUGUAGCAAAUUGUAGAAGUACAUGGAAAAUGAUGCUCCUGGCCAAAUUCCUUUUUCUUUCUUCUUAAAUCGCUAUGGAUCUCUGAUCUGAUGAUCUCUAAAUAGAAAUACAAGGAUCAAUACAGUGUUUUCUCUAUAUUUCUAUUGUUUUUCUUCAUACUGUGUUGAGGUCAUUGGACAUUGCAAGAUAUUUUUGUGCAUCUAAUUGGUGGAAGA